rnacentral:lncRNA from 1 species
CACAGCCUUUCCAUGCUAGUUCAUUGAAGAAACUAGAAGCAUUUUUAAACAGAAGGAUCCCUGAAGCUGUAUUUUACCCCCAGAGUGAGAACUCCAAGGGGCUACAUUCAAAGAGAGAUGGGAAAGAAAUCCAGCAAAAUGAGUACAGUUCUCCAUGAAGAGGGAGACAAAUGGGCACCAACAUGCACAUCUGAGAUGUCACUUGGCCACCACAGCCUGGAGCAGCCCCUGGAAGGUCUGUAGCCCACCCUGCCAACUCACACCUCCAUGAGCUCACUGUGUCCUGCUGCACCAGAGUGCUGCAUCACUCUGCCAGGCAGGGAAUAGAUGGGAUUUGGAACAAGCAGCUGUAAAGUCAUGGUUUAUAAUUCGAUUAGAGAUCAGGAUAAUCAGCUGAGUUGUGUCACAUCUAUUUAGUUUGACUUUGGUUUCUUGGAGGUCUAAGAACAUGGCCAAGGGGGAAUUGAACUGCUUAUUUUGUUUGGGUGUUUGUUGGUUGGGAUUUGGGGGAGGUUGUUUUUGAACAACCUUUUUUAUUUAAAAGAAAAGAAAAACAAACAAUAUUCU